AUGCUCCCUUCAACAGCACAUAAACUAAAGUUAGAACAAUACAGAGAAGAUAAGCAUGUCCCCUGUGCAAAGAUGACAUGCAAAUUCGUGAAGUAUGCCAUAUUUUU